UUUGGUUUCGACGGGGGCGGCAGAGAUAAAAGCUGCAGGUCGAGCUUUCCGACUCGUAAAUCCGGAAGCGUAAAAUAAACGCCAAAGACGAAUUAGCACUCGCUGCUUAAUUAAAUAGCAGCGCACCCUCCCCGGCGGUGCCCGGCGGCCGGGAAAAGGGUGUCAUAAAUCCGGGAUCUUCCCGUAGUGCAGCUCUGGCACUAUAGGAGAAAAUUAAAGAGCUGGCCGAUCUUUUAUCCUGCUCCCGGGAGAAAAGCCGGCGAGAACAAAAGCGGGAGAUAAGCCUGUAGACGCUUUUAUUGAUGUGCCUUCGGACAGGGGUUCGAUUCA
rnacentral:tmRNA from 1 species